rnacentral:rRNA from 1 species
GGGCCCGCACAAGCAGUGGAGUAUGUGGUUUAAUUCGAAGCAACGCGAAGAACCUUACCAGGGCUUGACAUCUACCGAAUCUUCUAGAGAUAGAGGAGUGCCUUCGGGAGCGGUAAGACAGGUGGUGCAUGGUUGUCGUCAGCUCGUGUCGUGAGAUGUUGGGUUAAGUCCCGCAACGAGCGCAACCCUUGUUGUUAGUUGCUACCAUUAAGUUGAGCACUCUAGCAAGACUGCCGGUGACAAAUCGGAGGAAGGUGGGGACGACGUCAAAUCAUCAUGCCCCUUAUGUCCUGGGCUACACACGUACUACAAUGGCUGUUAACAGAGGGAAGCGAUACAGUGAUGUGGAGCAAAUCCCUAAAAGCAGUCCCAGUUCAGAUUGUAGGCUGCAACUCGCCUACAUGAAGUCGGAAUUGCUAGUAAUCGCGGAUCAGCAUGCCGCGGUGAAUACGUUCCCGGGCCUU